rnacentral:rRNA from 1 species
AGUGAGCGCUGGCGGUAGGCCUAACACAUGCAAGUCGAACGGCAGCACAGUAAGAGCUUGCUCUUACGGGUGGCGAGUGGCGGACAGGUGAGGAAUACAUCGGAAUCUACUUUUUCGUGGGGGAUAACGUAGGGAAACUUACGCUAAUACCGCAUACGACCUACGGGUGAAAGCAUGGGAUCUUCGGACCUUGCGCGAUUGAAUGAGCCGAUGUCGGAUUAGCUAGUUGGCGGGGUAAAGGCCCACCAAGGCGACGAUACGUAGCUGGUCUGAGAGGAUGAUCAGCCAAACUGGAACUGAGACACGGUCCAGACUCCUACGGGAGGCAGCAGUGGGGAAUAUUGGACAAAGGGCGCAAGCCUGAUCCAGCCAUACCGCGUGGGUGAAGAAGGCCUUCGGGUUGUAAAGCCCUUUCGUUGGGAAAGAAAAGCAGCAGGUUAAUACCCCGCUGUUCUGACGGUACCCAAAGAAUAAGCACCGGCUAACUUCGUG